CCUUUUAUGUUUUAGGGAUAUUGUUUGUUGUGGAGUUUGCGGUUUGGGUGAUUGGUUGGAAAGGGUUGAAGGUUUGUUAGAAGCUGAGAUUUUUCGUGUGGUCCGAGUCUUGGUCUCUCUGUAUCCAAUAAGAAUUUGGCAUAUACCAAUUUCCUUGAAGAAAAAGAAGAAAUAGACAUUGCAGCCUGGUUUUGGUUUCAGUGGGGAUCCCAUCAUUACAACUCAUGCAAGCAAGUUAAUGCUGUUGAAAUCAACUUCACACCAUCUAGAAUAUUACAUACUAGCAAGUGAUCUGUGCAUUCAUCAAUUUUUCGGUAACAGAAGUUGCAGUUUGUCUCCUUCCUCAUCAAAAGUGAAGUUGAAGGCAUAUGUUGAUUGAGCUUCAUGAGGAAGAAGGAGUCGAACAGACAUUCCAAAAUUAAAAGCAACUUCUUUAAAUGCAAGGAAUGUUAGAAAAAAAGAUGAAGCAAUGAGAAGCAGUUCAAGCAACUAAUGCGAGGCUGGCAGUAGUGAUGAUAAUUGGCUUAUUCUAAUUUCUUGGACAACUAUGUAUGGACCCCCAGCAGAUACAUACUCUUUUAGGCGGAAAUAGGAUUCCUCAGAUCACUAUCAGAGGCAAGAAAUCUGCAAGGAUAAAUAUACCUCCUCUGUGCUCCAUAGCUCGGCUUCUUCUGUUGGUAGAUAUUGAUGUAUUCUUUUUAAUUGUAAGUCAUCCUCACUUGCAGAGAGAACAGUAGUAGUUUUAUUUUUCUACUAUUAAAACACCACUUUUUGUAAUAUGUAAAAUUAACACAGUUUCAAUUAACAGUUUUUACCUUACAAUUGUGACUAUUAUGAACAAAUUAGAGAAAUGAAAAA